rnacentral:rRNA from 1 species
AUGGAGGUUGGCGCUGGAUCCAUGGCAAAACUAAGUUCAUUCUUUCCUCUUAGCCGAUUGGAUAAAAACUGGCAUAUGUUAGUAAAAAGAAAGCUCCACCACGUGGAUCUUAUCGAGAGGUUGGAGAUUCCACUCGUUGGCACAAUUUUUGGGAAGGAUAACCAAUUAGCCAUGUGUCCCGGCCGAUUGGGGAUCGGAAAACAUGUUCAUGCCCAUUUACAUGUGACCUGCUCCACUCUUCAUCCAUCCUUCUAUAUAUACACUAAUAUAUGUAUCCUCUCGCUUGUUCCAUCCAUCUCCAGCGUCCUAAUCUCUCUCUCUCUCUCGUCUUGUUUGUUGGCCAUCUUUCUCUAUCCGGACUCGGAGCCCAAGACCCCGGGGUCGGGGGUGUGGGUGUUCAAGAACGGGGUGGUCCGGCUGGUGGAGAACCCCGGGAGCGUCCUAACGUCGACGGUGCGGCGCAAGGUGCUGCUGCACACGGCGAGCAACGAGGUGGAUAACCAUGCUCGGCAUCCACAUGAACAAUUUGUUUCAAUGACCACCCAGGUAAUUCAGAUGCCCCAUUUGAUUCUUGGAUCCUCUCCCUGCUGCUCAUUGCACAACUACGUCAAUCUGUUGUUUUCAAACAUAUAUAUUCAUGGCAAGGCCCAAGGGGCAAAUCACGGCAAACAAUCAUGUUUAACUCUGCUUUCUCUUGCCGUCAGCGGCCCCACGUGUGUCGUGCUCGUGGAUGUGCGUGCGUCCUUAUCGUGGCCGGCUCUUGCUGCUAUUUUUGCUGUGUCUCGUGUUGCUACUGCUGUUGAUUGCCAGCUGUUGCGCAUGUCUUGCUUGUGGCCGGCCCUGGCUGCUCAUGUCCUACAAUUUCUGCUAUUCAGCUUGCAUCUACAAGAAUACGUUAUCAAAGAAACUGAAUCUGGAAGAUGGAGCACCACUUUGUCUAGUACGCGUGUGUCUGGCUAUGUCAACUCUCUUGCUGAAAACUGCUGCCCAUACAACGAUGAAGAUGCUAUAUAUCUCCAACUAGAACAGUAUCAGCCUACUUGGACAUGGACUGAUCGCCAGUUGAACCAGCAACCAGCAGCCGGCAUUAGCGAUUCAGGCCCUGUUCGGAUACUAUCGCUCCGCCUCAGCAGCUCCCGGAGCGGACGGAGCGCCAGCAAUAUUGCUGGGAGCGGCUCAGACUGCGCUCCUCGCGCGGAGCGGAGUUAG